rnacentral:tRNA from 1 species
AAGAGAGACUGGGCUACCAAGAACUGUUAAUUACUUGCUACCGAGGUUCAAUUCCGCGGCUCACUUAGC